rnacentral:rRNA from 1 species
AUUGAACGCUGGCGGCAGGCCUAACACAUGCAAGUCGAACGAGUGGCGGACGGGUGAGUAAUGGCUGGGCAACUGCCUGCUGGAGGGGGAUAACUACUGGAAACGGUAGCUAAUACCGCAUACCAUCGGAUGUGCCCAGAUGGGAUUAGCUAGUAGGUGGGGUAAAGGGUAACCUAGGCGACGAUCCCUAGCUGGUCUGAGAGGAUGACCAGCCAGACUGGAACUGAGACACGGUCCAGCCUCCUACGGGAGGCAGCAGUGGAGAAGAUUGCACAAGGGGCGCAAGCCUGAUGCAGCCAUGCCGCGUGUAUGAAUAAGGCCUUCGGGUUGUAAAGUACGUUCAGCGGGGAGGCGUUACCCGCAGAAGAAGCACCGGCUAACUCCGUGCCAGCAGCCGCGGUAAUAC